CAACAAGCGCACAGCAGCAGAGAAUGAAUUUGUGACUCUGAAGAAGGUGAGCAGAUGAAGCUGGGGGUUCAAACUCAUUUAGGAGAGAAGUGGCUCUGUGUCCUCGCUCCCCUGGGAGAGGAGAAUUGGCAUGGGGACUAGAAGAUGGGUAGAUUGGAAAGGUGUGUUCAGGUAACUCCAGGUUGUUGGCUCUUUCUCCAGGACGUGGAUGCUGCCUACAUGAACAAGGUUGAACUGCAAGCCAAGGCAGACACUCUCACAGAUGAGAUCAACUUCCUGAGAGCCUUGUAUGAUGCAGAGCUGUCCCAGAUGCAGACCCACAUCUCAGACACAUCCGUGGUGCUGUCCAUGGACAACAACCGCAACCUGGACCUGGACAGCAUCAUCGCCGAGGUCAAGGCCCAAUAUGAGGAGAUUGCUCAGAGGAGCCGGGCUGAGGCUGAGUCCUGGUACCAGACCAAGUACGAGGAGCUGCAGGUCACAGCAGGCAGACAUG
rnacentral:sRNA from 1 species